rnacentral:rRNA from 1 species
UUUGAUCCUGGCUCAGGACGAACGCUGGCGGCGUGCCUAAUACAUGCAAGUCGAACGGUUCUUUCUUUUGGAAGCUUGCUUCCGAUCGAGAGAAUAGUGGCGAACGGGUGAGUAACACGUGGGUAACCUGCCCAUAAGAGGGGGAUAACAUCCGGAAACGGGUGCUAAUACCGCAUAGUUUUUUUGAUCGCAUGAUCGAGAAAGGAAAGACGGCCUUUGUGCUGUCGCUUAUGGAUGGACCCGCGGCGUAUUAGUUAGUUGGUGAGGUAAUGGCUCACCAAGACGAUGAUACGUAGCCGACCUGAGAGGGUGAUCGGCCACAUUGGGACUGAGACACGGCCCAAACUCCUACGGGAGGCAGCAGUAGGGAAUCUUCCGCAAUGGACGAAAGUCUGACGGAGCAACGCCGCGUGAGUGAAGAAGGUUUUCGGAUCGUAAAACUCUGUUGUCAGAGAAGAACAAGUCGGAGAGUAACUGCUCCGGCCUUGACGGUAUCUGACCAGAAAGCCACGGCUAACUACGUGCCAGCAGCCGCGGUAAUACGUAGGUGGCAAGCGUUGUCCGGAUUUAUUGGGCGUAAAGCGAGCGCAGGCGGUUCCUUAAGUCUGAUGUGAAAGCCCACGGCUCAACCGUGGAAGGUCAUUGGAAACUGGGGAACUUGAGUGCAGAAGAGGAGAGUGGAAUUCCAUGUGUAGCGGUGAAAUGCGUAGAUAUAUGGAGGAACACCAGUGGCGAANGCGACUCUCUGGUCUGUAACUGACGCUGANGCUCGAAAGCGUGGGGAGCAAACAGGAUUAGAUACCCUGGGUAGUCCACGCCGUAAACGAUGAGUGCUAAGUGUUGGAGGGUUUCCACCCUUCAGUGCUGCAGCUAACGCAUUAA